rnacentral:rRNA from 1 species
UACGUAGGGUGCGAGCGUUGUCCGGAUUUAUUGGGCGUAAAGAGCUCGUAGGCGGUUUGUCGAGUCGGCCGUGAAAUCUCCACGCUUAACGUGGAGCGUGCGGUCGAUACGGGCAGACUUGAGUUCGGUAGGGGAGACUGGAAUUCCUGGCGUAGCGGUGAAAUGCGCAGAUAUCAGGAGGAACACCGGUGGCGAAGGCGGGUCUCUGGGCCGAUACUGACGCUGAGGAGCGAAAGCGUGGGGAGCGAACAGG